CCUACGGGAGGCAGCAGUGGGGGAUAUUGCACAAUGGGGGGAACCCUGAUGCAGCGACGCCGCGUGGGUGAAGGAGUGCUUCGGCAUGUAAAGCCCUAUCGGCAGGGAAGAAGCAACACGGUACCUGACUAAGAAGCCCCGGCGAACUACGUGCCAGCAGCCGCGGUAAUACGUAGGGGGCGAGCGUUAUCCGGAUUCACUGGGUGUAAAGGGAGCGUGGGCGGCCAAGCAAGCCAGGGGGGAACGCCCGGGGCCCAAACCCGGGACCGCCCUUGGAACUGCAUGGCUGGAGUGGGGGAGGGGCAGGCGGAAUGCGUGGUGUAGCGGUGAAAUGCGUAGAUAUCAGGAGGAACACCGGCGGCGAAGGCGGCCUGCUGGACCGCGACUGACGCUGAGGCACGAAAGCGUGGGGAGCGAACAGGAUUAGAUACCCUUGUAGUC
rnacentral:rRNA from 1 species